rnacentral:tRNA from 1 species
UCCCUGAUGGCUCAGUGGUAGAGAAUCCACCUGUCAAUGUAGGAGACACAGGUUCUAUCCCUGAUCUGGGAA